AUCGAACGCUGGCGGCAUGCCUUACACAUGCAAGUCGAACGGUAACAGCUCUUCGGAUGCUGACGAGUGGCGUACGGGUGAGUAAUACAUCGGAACGUGCCCGAUCACGGGGGAUAACGAGGCGAAAGAUUUGAUAAUACCGCAUACGAACUACGGAAGAGACCGUGGGAGCUUCGGCCCUCGAUCGGCUGGUUCGUCGGAUGGCAGCUUAGGAAGUCGGCGGGCUAGAAGCUUACUGAGCCGACGAUCGGCAACACGUCUGAGAGGAUGCUCAGCCACACUGUGACUGAGAAACGGCACAGACUCCUGCGGUAGGCAGCAGUGGGGAAUUUUGGACAAGGGGCGAAUGCCUGAUCCAGCCAUGCCGCGUGCAGGAUGAAGGCCUUUGGGUUGGAGACUGCUUUUGUACGGAACGAUAAGCCUCUUUCUAAUAAAGGGGGGUAAUGACGGUACCGUAAGAAUAAGCACCGGCUAACUACGUG
rnacentral:rRNA from 1 species